GGACGAACGCUGGCGGCGUGCCUAAUACAUGCAAGUCGAACGAGAGCGACYGGUGCUUGCACUGGUCAAUCUAGUGGCGAACGGGUGAGUAACACGUGGGUAACCUGCCCAUCAGAGGGGGAUAACAUCCGGAAACGGAUGCUAAAACCGCAUAGGUCUUCGAGCCGCAUGGCUUGAAGAGGAAAAGAGGCGCAAGCUUCUGCUGAUGGAUGGACCCGCGGUGCAUUAGCUAGUUGGUGAGGUAACGGCUCACCAAGGCCGUGAUGCAUAGCCGACCUGAGAGGGUGAUCGGCCACAUUGGGACUGAGACACGGCCCAAACUCCUACGGGAGGCAGCAGUAGGGAAUCUUCCGCAAUGGACGCAAGUCUGACGGAGCAACGCCGCGUGAGUGAAGAAGGUUUUCGGAUCGUAAAACUCUGUUGUUAGAGAAGAACAAGUGCUAGAGUAACUGUUAGCGCCUUGACGGUAUCUAACCAGAAAGCCACGGCUAACUACGUGCCAGCAGCCGCGGUAAUACGUAGGUGGCAAGCGUUGUCCGGAUUUAUUGGGCGUAAAGCGAGCGCAGGCGGUUCCUUAAGUCUGAUGUGAAAGCCCCCGGCUCAACCGGGGAGGGUCAUUGGAAACUGGGGAACUUGAGUGCAGAAGAGGAGAGUGGAAUUCCAUGUGUAGCGGUGAAAUGCGUAGAUAUAUGGAGGAACACCAGUGGCGAAGGCGACUCUCUGGUCUGUAACUGACGCUGAGGCUCGAAAGCGUGGGUAGCAAACA
rnacentral:rRNA from 1 species